ACAGAGGGGGCAAGCGUUGCUCGGAAUCACUGGGCGUAAAGGGCGCGUAGGCGGGAUGGCAAGUCGGUCGUGAAAUCCUUCGGCUCAACCGAAGAACGUCGGCCGAUACUGCCGUUCUUGAGGGAUGCAGAGGAGAUUGGAAUUCCCGGUGUAGCGGUGAAAUGUGUAGAGAUCGGGAGGAACACCGGUGGCGAAGGCGGGUCUCUGGGCAUCUCCUGACGCUGAGGCGCGAAAGCGUGGGGAGCAAACGGGA
rnacentral:rRNA from 1 species